GCUGUGGGUUACUAGGAGUAGAGUCUAUUGUAGUAGUAAUGGGCCUUCCUAAGGCAAGGGUCAGCUGUAUGUAAACUUUCUCAAACUAGAACUGUGUGUUUUGAGACUGAUUGGAAAUGUCUCUCUUUCUACUGCUACAUUUUAAUGGAGGAGCAAUAUAGAAACAUAAGUAUUGUCUGUGUUAUCUAUUCUGUGCAUUCUGAGGGUUCAUGUUCUCAUCUAUGUCCUGAAUCUACAUGGGGAGUGCACUUGCAUGCUUAAGGUGGAUAUGAGAGAGCCUGAAGUGCCCAGAUUUCAGACAGCCUAUUAGCCCCUAGCCCCCGGGAGUGGACAGCAGUGAAGGUACUCAGGAUGCCCCCUGUUGCAUGGUGGAUGGUUGCUCUUCAAACUGUUGUGUCAUUAGGAAUGUCAAUGCAGAGGGCAGAUAUGCUGAAAUCAGGAAAGAUAUCUAAGAAGGCAUUUGAGAGAUCCUUUGUUUAUGAUAAGGAGAAGUUGUACAGUAUCUGCUUCAGCAAAUGGUACUAA
rnacentral:lncRNA from 1 species